UACGGAGGGUGCAAGCGUUAAUCGGAAUUACUGGGCGUAAAGCGUGCGCAGGCGGUUGUGUAAGACAGAUGUGAAAUCCCCGGGCUCAACCUGGGAACUGCAUUUGUGACUGCACGGCUCGAGUGCGGCAGAGGGGGAUGGAAUUCCGCGUGUAGCAGUGAAAUGCGUAGAUAUCUGGAGGAACACCGGUGGCGAAGGCGGCAUCCUGGACCGACACUGACGCUGAGGAGCGAAAGCCAGGGGAGCAAACGGG
rnacentral:rRNA from 1 species